AAUGAACGUUGGCGGCAUGGAUUAGGCAUGCAAGUCGAGCGAGAAGUUAUAGAUUGACGCUUCGGUUGAUCUCUAUAAUGGACAGCGGCGCAUGGGAGAGUAACGCGUAGUUAUCUACCCCAAGGUCCGGAAUAGCCACGGGAAACUGUGGGUAAUGCCGGAUAAUAUCCCCGGAUCAAAGGUGUGAUUCCGCCUUGGGAGGAGACUGCGUACUACUAGCUUGUUGGUGGGGUAAUGGCCUACCAAGGCUUUGAUGGUUAGCGGGCGUGAGAGCGUGGCCCGUCUCACUGGGACUGAAACACUGCCCAGACAUCUACGGAUGGCUGCAGUCGAGAAUCUUCGGCAAUGGGCGAAAGCCUGACCGAGCGAUGCCGCGUGCGGGAUGAAGGCCCUCGGGUUGUAAACCGCUGUCAGUUGGGAGGAAGGGUCCGUGAAGAGCGGAUCUUGACCUAUCUUCAGAGGAAGUCCGGGCUAAGUUCGUG
rnacentral:rRNA from 1 species